AUGGCCACAUCACAUUAAAAAACUGGUUCCCAUACAAUUACUGAAGUUAAGCAAUGUUGAGCCUGGUCAGUAUCUUCAUUAGUGACUGCUUGGGAAUACCAGGUGCUGUAAG